rnacentral:rRNA from 1 species
UAAGCCUGUGAAGGUGGCCUGUGAGGGUUGCUGGAGGUAUCAGAAGUGCGAAUGCUGACAUAAGUAACGAUAAAGCGGGUGAAAAGCCCGCUCGCCGGAAGACCAAGGGUUCCUGUCCAACGUUAAUCGGGGCAGGGUGAGUCGACCCCUAAGGCGAGGCCGAAAGGCGUAGUCGAUGGGAAACGGGUUAAUAUUCCCGUACUUGGUGUUACUGCGAAGGGGGGACGGAGAAGGCUAUGUUGGCCGGGCGACGGUUGUCCCGGUUUAAGCGUGUAGGUGUGUGUUCCAGGUAAAUCCGGUUCACUUUAACACUGAGGCGUGACGACGAGGCACUACGGUGCUGAAGCAACAAAUGCCCUGCUUCCAGGAAAAGCCUCUAAGCAUCAGGUAACAUCAAAUCGUACCCCAAACCGACACAGGUGGUCAGGUAGAGAAUACCAAGGCGCUUGAGAGAACUCGGGUGAAGGAACUAGGCAAAAUGGUGCCGUAACUUCGGGAGAAGGCACGCUGACACGUAGGUGAAGUGAUUUACUCAUGGAGCUGAAGUCAGUCGAAGAUACCAGCUGGCUGCAACUGUUUAUUAAAAACACAGCACUGUGCAAACACGAAAGUGGACGUAUACGGUGUGACGCCUGCCCGGUGCCGGAAGGUUAAUUGAUGGGGUCAGCGCAAGCGAAGCUCCUGAUCGAAGCCCCGGUAAACGGCGGCCGUAACUAUAACGGUCCUAAGGUAGCGAAAUUCCUUGUCGGGUAAGUUCCGACCUGCACGAAUGGCGUAAUGAUGGCCAGGCUGUCUCCACCCGAGACUCAGUGAAAUUGAACUCGCUGUGAAGAUGCAGUGUACCCGCGGCAAGACGGAAAGACCCCGUGAACCUUUACUAUAGCUUGACACUGAACAUUGAGCCUUGAUGUGUAGGAUAGGUGGGAGGCUUUGAAGUGUGGACGCCAGUCUGCAUGGAGCCGACCUUGAAAUACCACCCUUUAAUGUUUGAUGUUCUAACGUGGACCCGUAAUCCGGGUUGCGGACAGUGUCUGGUGGGUAGUUUGACUGGGGCGGUCUCCUCCUAAAGAGUAACGGAGGAGCACGAAGGUUGGCUAAUCCUGGUCGGACAUCAGGAGGUUAGUGCAAUGGCAUAAGCCAGCUUGACUGCGAGCGUGACGGCGCGAGCAGGUGCGAAAGCAGGUCAUAGUGAUCCGGUGGUUCUGAAUGGAAGGGCCAUCGCUCAACGGAUAAAAGGUACUCCGGGGAUAACAGGCUGAUACCGCCCAAGAGUUCAUAUCGACGGCGGUGUUUGGCACCUCGAUGUCGGCUCAUCACAUCCUGGGGCUGAAGUAGGUCCCAAGGGUAUGGCUGUUCGCCAUUUAAAGUGGUACGCGAGCUGGGUUUAGAACGUCGUGAGACAGUUCGGUCCCUAUCUGCCGUGGGCGCUGGAGAACUGAGGGGGGCUGCUCCUAGUACGAGAGGACCGGAGUGGACGCAUCACUGGUGUUCGGGUUGUCAUGCCAAUGGCACUGCCCGGUAGCUAAAUGCGGAAGAGAUAAGUGCUGAAAGCAUCUAAGCACGAAACUUGCCCCGAG